CAAUAGCGUAUAUUUAAGUUGUUGCAGUUAAAAAGCUCGUAGUUGGAUUUCGGAUGGGACUUGCCGGUCCGUCGUUUCGAUGUGCACUGGCCAGUCCUAUCUUGUUGUCGGGGACUAGCUCCUGGGCUUCACUGUCCGGGACUAGGAGCUGACGAGGUUACUUUGAGUAAAUUAGAGUGUUCAAAGCAAGCCUACGCUCUGAAUACAUUAGCAUGGAAUAACACGAUAGGACUCUGGCUUAUCUUGUUGGUCUGUGAGACCAGAGUAAUGAUUAAGAGGGACAGUCGGGGGCAUUCGUAUUUCAUUGUCAGAGGUGAAAUUCUUGGAUUUAUGAAAGACGAACUUCUGCGAAAGCACUUGUCAAGGAUGUUUUCAUUAA
rnacentral:rRNA from 1 species